rnacentral:lncRNA from 1 species
AUGGGCCGUCCUUAUUUUGAUUUUUUCUUUGACUUAGCUAUAUUAUUCUAUAAAUGCUUGAGACUUAUAAAGCUGAAAGGUAAAUUAGUUAUAUCUAAUUAAAAACCUUUCCUUACAAGUCUAGAUGAGCAACUUAUCAACUGAAAUAGUCUAAAGCUAUUGAGUAAUAAAUCCUAGGGCCUCACAUUCAUUUAGAGUAUACUUUUCCUAAUGAAAAACUGAGGCAAAGUAUUACUACUACAUCAUAUGUUAUCCUUAGCUAGCAUACAUAGGGAUUUUAUUCACUAAAUUACUAUCAAAUGUUCCAUUGUGAAUGUAUAUCAUAUAACUACAUUAUUCUAUCAGAGGAAAAUAACUAAUGUACAUAUACAACUAUGAUUUGGAAUACGAAUUAAAAUAAAUCCUAGAGCUUCAGCUCUCCACUUGUAUUUCAUGCUUCAAUAUGUUUCAGAUUACAUAAUUCAGUGCAUUCGAUUGUGUACCUGGUAUUUGAAAGGCAAAGAAGAAAAGAAAGGAUCAGUGAUGGCAGUAGUAUCACAGCAAGUUCAGCAACAACGUGUUCAGAAAGAAAAUAAGGGAUCAGUGACGACAGUAGUAUCACAGCAAGUUCAUCAACAACGGGUUCAGUGACACAGUAGAAGGAAUCCCAGGAAACCAAUGGAAUAGUAUUUGAAAAUCAACAGAAGAACCAGCAACAGAUUCCACAAACCAAACAGGAAUGAUUCCAACAAUUUCAAAAUCAACCAAGCAAAGAAGAUGCACCCAGAAACUCUUAAAUCCUCAACAAAUUGAGGUUCUAUCAGAAAUAGACUCAGCUGACUUCAAAAUCACUCAACCCAAAUCCAAAGAAACUUAAAUCAGUGAAGUGGAAGCAAUGAAUCAGAAGGAAGGCUUCAAUCAAACAAGGAAUAACUUUCAAAUUUCCAGAAAAGAUACUGAUUCUUUCUGAAAACUGACUCUACUAAUCUCUUUAAAGAUUGCCCAAAAAAAGGUCUAUCUCUCUCUCUCUCUCUCUCUAUCUCUUUCUCUCUUUCUCUCUCUCUCUUUCUCUCUCUCUCUCUCUCUCUCUCUCUCUCUCUCUCUCUAGUUUUCAAAGUAUGAUUCUAAAAUUGCAGUACUAAGCUGUGAAUUUCUAAUCUUAAAAUUUUCAGUCCUUAUUCAGUGUUCAAUCCUCCUAUUUAUAGCCCAUUCCCACCCUUAAAAAGCACUAAGACAGCUGCCUCAUUCAUUACUUCCUCAUGUUCUUUUUCCCUUUCCAGCUCUUAGGAGCAUUAUCCCUAAUUAAGAAGUGAAUUCACCCAUGUUCUUCUCUGAAUUUCCCACUUCAAAAGUUCAAAAGGAGAAAUAUUCCCUGACAGCCCCCUUCUUUUAGUAUUAAAGUGUUUUUCUCUUUUAUUAAACUAAACAAAUGUGGGCAGCAGGAAUGUACCCUGACUGCUGCUGUCCAGUUAACCUUAAUUCAUUAAAGAGAUACAAAUCACAUGCUUUCUAAAUCUAAAUGAAUAAACAAAUCCAGUAUUCAUCUAAAUAUUCAUAAACCAGGGGCAUCAUUUCAAUACUAGUCCAAACUAAAUGCUUGAUUAAUUGCAAUUCAAAUUGAAACUAGUAUGAAUUCAAAUGCUAAUGGAUUCAGGCUGCAGAAUAGAAUUAACACGAAAUUUUGGAUCAGGCAUAGGAAAACUAGUACCAACCAGUUGGAAGGGCACGAACAAACUUCAAACCAGUAAUCGACCAAACUUAAUUAAUCAGCUACGUAGUUUAUGACCUAUUACCAAAACCCAGAAUAAUUCAAACCAAAUAAAAGAUCCUUAAAUGAGGAGGAGAAGAUAAUUACCAAUCAAAUAAACAAAAAAUGAUACAACAAACUAACAAACUUAACAAAAAUAAAUAAAUAAGAGAAAACGGGAAAGAAGAAAUACCUCAAAAAAGAAAUUAGAAACCAACUGGGCUAGGGCUUGCACUGACUCGAAUGUUUUGAGGUUAAAUGGAUCUUAAUCAAGUGUUCUCGGUUGAGAACACUUGAUUAAGGUUGAUUAUGAACCCCAAAAUUUUACCAAUUUGGAUUGAUUCUGGUUCAAUCUUCGCUAGGGCUCCCUAGUUCGAUUUAGGAUUCGAGACAUUAUGGUAAGAUUCGAGCAAAACUCAGGGUGUUCUAGAGGUGAGGGAGGUCCGGGUGUCCCGUGGUAUGAAUUUGGGACUGAUUGGGAUGGUUUCGAAUUCUGCUCGAAUCUUCAACUGAAGAUUCGAGAAGCACCGCGGUGAUUCGAGGUAAGCAGUCGACGGAUUCAGGUUGAGGGUGAGCUAGUGGAAUUAGGGUGUUAAUUUGGGGGAGAUUAAAGUAGUUUCCGCCGGUUUUGAGGGGGUGGAAUAUGCCGACGGCUCAAGGGUUUCGAGGGGAUUUUGGGUCUGUGACGUGAGAGACGAAGAAGAGACGGGGUAAUGGCUUGGGGGGAGGGGGUGGUCAGGAAUAUAACUAUGGGAAAAAUGAUCCUGAGUUGUUAGAUCGUUCAUGAUUA